rnacentral:sRNA from 1 species
UGAAUUUUUCCACAUGUAAAUACAGUUUGUUUUAAAGUGAGAAGAUAUGUAGACAUAGGAAAAGAUACAUACAUACAGUGGAAGGACAUUUGAGGGUGAUCGCUCGCAGCUACCCGCUUCCAAUUCGGAUUAGAAGCUGAGGCUGGAGCGGCGAGGAGAAAACGACAUCGAG